CCUGACCCUAGAGUCCUUCCUUGCAGGUGUGGCUGCUGUGACAUGUGCAUCAGUAGGUGGCAGAGAGAAGAGAGACCAUGUCAUGCUGUGGGUUCUGACCUAUGACAUCAGAAUGAUUAGUAGUCUAAUAUU